GAUGAACGCUGGCGGCGUGCCUAAUACAUGCAAGUCGAGCGAACGGACGAGAAGCUUGCUUCUCUGAUGUUAGCGGCGGACGGGUGAGUAACACGUGGAUAACCUACCUAUAAGACUGGGAUAACUUCGUGAAACCGGAGCUAAUUCCGGAUAAUAUUUUGAACCGCAUGGUUCAAAAGUGAAAGACGGUCUUGCUGUCACUUAUAGAUGGAUCCGCGCUACAUUAGCUAGUUGGUAAGGUAACGGCUUACCAAGGCAACGAUGCAUAGCCGACCUGAGAGGAUGAUCGGCCACACUGGAACUGAGACACGGUCCAGACUCCUACGGGAGGCAGCAGUAGGGAAUCUUCCGCAAUGGGCGAAAGCCUGACGGAGCAACGCCGCGUGAGUGAUGAAGGUCUUCGGAUCGUAAAACUCUGUUAUUAGGGAAGAACAUAUGUGUAAGUAACUGUGCACAUCUUGACGGUACCUAAUCAGAAAGCCACGGCUAACUACGUG
rnacentral:rRNA from 1 species